GCUUGUUUGGCCGAGCGGUCUAAGGCGCUGCACUCAAGUUGCAGUCUCGCAAGAGGCAGCGGUUCGAAUCCGCUAGCAAGCA